rnacentral:rRNA from 1 species
GAUGAACGCUAGCGGGAGGCCUAACACAUGCAAGCCGAGCGGUAUUUGUUCUUCGGAACUGCGAGAGCGGCGCACGGGUGCGGAACACGUGUGCAACCUGCCUUUAUCUGGGGGAUAGCCUUUCGAAAGGAAGAUUAAUACCCCAUAAUAUAUUUAGUGGCAUCAUUUGAUAUUGAAAACUCCGGUGGAUAGAGAUGGGCACGCGCAAGAUUAGGUAGUUGGUGAGGUAACGGCUCACCAAGUCAAUGAUCUUUAGGGGGCCUGAGAGGGUGAUCCCCCACACUGAUACUGAGACACGGACCAGACUGCUACGGGAGGCAGCGGUGAGGAAGAUUGGAGAGUAGGUUUGAGCCUGAUCCGGCAAUCCGGCGUGAAAGACGACGGCCCUAUAGGUUGUAAACUUCUUUUGUAUAGGGAUAAACCAACUCUCGUGAGAGUAGCUGAAGGUACUAUACAAAUAAGCACCGCCAAACUCCUU